rnacentral:rRNA from 1 species
GCCUGUUUAUCAAAAACAUGUCCUUUAGGUUUAUUAUUAAAGGUCAGGCCUGCCCAAUGAUAAAAUUAAAUGGCCGCGGUAUUUUGACCGUGCAAAGGUAGCAUAAUCAUUAGUUUUUUAAUUGAAAGCUGGAAUGAACGGUCUGACAAGAAAAUUACUGUCUCGGUUAAAUAAUUAGAAUUUUAUUUUUUAGUCAAAAAGCUUAGAUGUUUUUAUGGGACGAGAAGACCCUAUAGAAUUUUAUAAUUUUUUUUUGAUUGGGUUUUUAGUUUAAUUAUCCUAAUUAAAGAAAAAUUUAAUUUGUUGGGGUGACAGGAAAAUUUAUUUAACUUUUCUUAAGUUUUUUCACUUAUUUGUGUUUUUGUGAUCCAUUUUUUAUGAUUAUAAGAUUAAAUUACCUUAGGGAUAACAGCGUUAUUAAUUUGGAGAGUUCUUAUUGAUAAAUUAGUUUGCGACCUCGAUGUUGGAUUAAAAUUUAUUUUCGGUGUAGGGGCUGAAGAAUUGAGUCUGUUCGACUUUUAAAAUUUUACAUGAUCUGAGUUCAGACCGG